CGCGCGGGGCAUUGUGGGGAGGGCGGCCGGUGCAGCCGCGGCUGCCAUCUUAGCAACUCCUGGCGUCGCGGCCUUGUCGUUGGGGGCGGCCUUCGUGGCGGCCGUCGACCUCGGAGAGCGGCUUGAACUCAGCUGGCUGGCAGCUUUCCUUCCCCCGGCCGACACAGCACGGCCAGCCGGCGUCCGGAGGAGGCAGUGAGGGCGGUGGGACGCGUGCGGGGCCCGAGUCCAGCGGUUAGUCCGAGCGUCGCCCGGAAGGAUGGGCCGGUCUCGGAGCCGGAGCUCGUCCCGCUCCAAACACACCAAGAGCAGCAAACACAACAAGAAGCGGAGCCGGUCGCGGUCGCGGUCCCGGGACAAGGAGCGCGUGCGGAAGCGCUCCAAGUCCCGGGAGAGUAAACGGAACCGGCGGCGGGAGUCGCGGUCCCGCUCGCGGUCCACCAACACGGCCGUGUCCCGGCGCGAGCGGGACCGGGAGCGCGCCUCGUCCCCGCCCGACCGCAUCGACAUCUUCGGGCGCACGGUGAGCAAGCGCAGCAGCCUGGACGAGAAGCAGAAGCGAGAGGAGGAGGAGAAGAAAGCGGAGUUCGAGCGGCAGCGAAAAAUUCGGCAGCAGGAAAUAGAAGAAAAACUCAUCGAGGAAGAAACAGCACGAAGAGUGGAAGAGUUAGUGGCAAAAAGGGUAGAGGAAGAACUGGAGAAAAGGAAGGAUGAAAUCGAGCGAGAAGUUCUCCGAAGGGUGGAGGAAGCCAAGCGCAUCAUGGAAAAGCAGUUGCUCGAAGAACUCGAGCGACAGAGACAAGCUGAGCUUGCAGCACAAAAAGCCAGAGAGAGGAAGCUGGCGCGUAUGGCAGCCGAGGAGCACACUCUGCAGGACACUGGACAAGACAGUAAAUAUUCAACUUUUAAUGCUGAUUAAAGGAGUAUAGGUAAAGAAUACGUAGGUAUACAUAAUUGGUGAGACAAAUAUUCACUUUAUUUAUAUUUUAUAUAUUAUUUUUUAAUUUGGUAAAUACUAUCCAGUUUUGUAGUUGUCCUUGUUGAUUUGUGUGAUAUUAAAGUAUUAGUAAUAAUUGCCAGGAAACUAUCAUUAGGGAGGGUUUAGUCGGUUGCUGUUUGGACUGGGAGGGAUGAUUUAAAUUUCGUGCUAGAAACAAAUUUUAGUGGCUGCACAGUUUAUCAUUUGUCAGACAGAAGGUGGCUAUAAAGCUACCCUCUAAGUCAGAUCAAAAAAGUUCAGAGGAAGAUUAGUAAAUAUUUAUCAGUAAAAAUAAACAUUUUAUUUUUCUAACAUCUAAACAUGUCCUCCCCUUUAGGAGGAAGAACGUGCAAAACGUGAGGAGCUAGAGCGAAUACUGGAAGAGAAUAACCGAAAAAUUGCAGAAGCACAAGCCAAACUGGCUGAAGAGCAGUUGAGAAUUGUUGAAGAACAAAGAAAGAUUCAUGAGGAAAGGAUGAAACUAGAACAAGAGCGGCAACGUCAACAAAAAGAAGAACAAAAAAUUAUCCUGGGCAAGGGCAAGUCCAGGCCCAAACUGUCCUUCUCUUUAAAGACCCAGGAUUAAACUGCAAACUGAACUUUUUACAAAGAAAAAUGGAAAAACUUUGUAUGGUAGCUUCAUGUUGAAGUGGUUUUUUGUUUUUUUGUUUUUUUUUUGUUUUUGUUUGUUUUUUUUUUUGUUUUUUUUUUUUGUUUUUUUGUUUUUUUUUUUAAUUUGGAAAAUCUGGAAAACUUAGCUUGUUCUAAUAGGGGCUAUGCUCUGCAUUCCUCCCCCCCCCCCCCUUUAACUUCCAUUAAGUCAGAUCCUUAUCAGAUCAUUAUUGUCUUCUAGAAAGUGAUCUAUUUUUCAUCUGUUUGGAUUCUUCAUUAGUGAUCCGCAGAAGAGCAGAUCACUUUGUAAACUGUGGAUGGUCUGAUAAGUUUCUACUGGCCCAUUGACUUCAGAGUUAUACUCUGCCUAUUACAUCAUAAUGCUGGUUUUGCUGACUUUUUGUUUUUUUAUAUAUUUAUAAAAAAAGAAAAAGUUGGAAAUUGCAUUGGAAGCUCCCAGGGUGUUACUGGACCUGUGUGGUGUAUUGUUAACCAGUGUCCUUGUGAUACCGUUGCUCUUGAUGUUCCUGAUACAGGUAAGGAAACAGUCGGUCAGCUCUGGUACAAGAUAUAUAUACAGUUCAGUAUUGUCUCUGUUCAGUUUGUUUUUAUUUCAUUGACAAAGUCAAACCAGCAUUCCCCAUUGUGUAAAUAAAUGAUUUUGCUGAAUAAAGUAAAGUCUUAAAUUCA